rnacentral:rRNA from 1 species
UUUAUGGAGAGUUUGAUCCUGGCUCAGGACGAACGCUGGCGGCGUGCCUAAUACAUGCAAGUCGAGCGGACAAUUGAGAGCUUGCUCUCAAUUGUUAGCGGCGGACGGGUGAGUAACACGUGGGCAACCUGCCCUGUAGACUGGGAUAACUUCGGGAAACCGAAGCUAAUACCGGAUAAUCUUUUGGACCACAUGG